rnacentral:rRNA from 1 species
GCCUGGCCCUAAAUCUUGAUGCUCGAUAUUACCUGAGCGUCCGCCCGAGAACUACGAGCACAAACGCUUAAAACUCUAAGGACUUGGCGGUGUUCCAAACCCACCUAGAGGAGCCUGUUCUGUAAUCGAUGAUCCACGAUAUUACCUGACCAUUCCUUGCACGAAGCAGCCUAUAUACCGCCGUCGCCAGCCCACCUUCCCUGACAGCCCAACAGUGGACGCAAUAGCCUAACCCGCUAGCAAGACAGGUCAAGGUAUAGCCUAUGGAAUGGAAGCAAUGGGCUACAUUUUCUGAGAUAGAACAUACGGAAAGGGGUAUGAAACUGCCCCUGGAAGGCGGAUUUAGCAGUAAAGAGGGAGACAUCGAGCCCUCUUUAAGACGGCUCUGGAGCACGU